GGUGAUGAAGUAGAGCUCCAUGAAGUCCAAUGAAGGUUCUUGCUAGGUUGAUUAUGCUGCUAAGUUAUGGAUCCCAUAGUUCUACACAUACUAUACUUUUGUGGUAGUUUCUAUGGCUUCCAUAACUUUGGAGCUUUAUUACCUAUGGUUAGAUCAUUAUUUGGAUUGAAGGGAGCUCUAAACCUUUCUCCA